rnacentral:rRNA from 1 species
AAAGCUCUGUCGAUGGGAAAGAAGUGUAAGGUGGUUAAUACCCGCUUUACUUGGCGGGUACCCAUAAAGGAAGCACCGGNUAACUCCGUGCCAGCAGCCGCGGUAAUACGGGGGGUGCAAGCGUUGUUNGGAAUUAUUGGGCGUAAAGCGCGUGUAGGCGGUUUGAUUAGUCUGAUGUGAAAGCCCUGGGCUCAACCCAGGAAGUGCAUUGGAAACUGUCAGACUUGAAUACGGGAGAGGGUAGUGGAAUUCCUAGUGUAGGAGUGAAAUCCGUAGAUAUUAGGAGGAACACCGGUGGCGAAGGCGGCUACCUGGACCGAUAUUGACGCUGAGACGCGAAAGCGUGGGUAGCAAACAGGAUUAGAUACCCUGGUAGUCCACGCCGUAAACGAUGAGUACUAGGUGUUGCGGGUAUUGACCCCUGCAGUGCCGCAGCUAACGCAUUAAGUACUCCGCCUGGGAAGUACGGUCGCAAGACUAAAACUUAAAGGAAUUGACGG